CCGGAAGACAGAAGGGCCCAUGGAUGGGCAGGGGAAGGAAGAAGAUGCGGGUUCCCAAAGGCGCGUGGUGGCGAGGUGAGGCGCGGCGCGGCGCGGGGCUGUGAGGCUCCGGAGGUGUCCCAGUCCAAGGUGGCCAGAGGCUCAAUGUGACGUCACGGUAAUCCCGGGCCGCCAGACGGGACCCCGGGCCCCGGGACCCUGGGCCACCAAGCGUGCCAAGCGCAGCCAGCCCGUGCGCGCGCGCGCACUCUCAUCCACACUCACACUUGCUCCGGGAGGUUUGUGCAGCUGGCGAGGAACGUCAAAAACCCUGACCCUCUCUGCUCGGCGCUGAAUCCUACCCCUUUUCGCCUGGAGCUCACGCGCGCGCGCACACACACACAACCUCUCUAAAUUACCCGGGAGAAGUAGGAGAAACGCCUCCCUCUGAGCCGCGCAGGCCCCGGGCGCAGCGCGCUCACCUCCUCCCCUGCGGCCCGGAGGAGGCGAGAGGCAACCGGGACGGCGAGGGAGGAGAGAAUACAAAAGAAGAGACAGGAGAAAAGUGGGGGAGAAAGCUUCUAUCAAAAUACUUCCCAAGGAGGAAGGCCUGCCAUGUCUCCUCUGGCUUCCCAGCCUUGCAAGACCUUGAUUUAACAUUUCCUUCCCAGGGAGAGGCUGCACCCACGAAACCUCAGGUGAGAAGAUGUCUGUUUCUUGGAAAAUCGGAUUGAGGGGAAGCUGCAGUGGAAUUUGCUUUUGUCCUCCUGACGGUUCACAGACUCCCACUUCAGCAGCCUUGGGCUUCUCCACCCCGGCAGCUUUUCAUUGCUUUGUUCAGCACUGAUUAAUUUAGUUUCGGAGAAAAAGCCCCAAUUGUAUAUGUGUACACAUAGAAUUUUAUUGAAGCAAGUAAAUAAAUCCAUCAAAUAUAGACACUCCCAGUUAUAUUUAAGGGAGUCAUUCCACCUAAAGUAUUUUAAACAAAUGAUAGAGAUUCUUUUGUUGUACUGUGCAACAUGCCUGAUAGUUCCUCUAGCUGCUCAUUAAAACAAAUGUGAAACAAAUUAAACAAUCAAAAGCCUAUCUGUACCAGAGAGUACUAAUCCACAUUGUUUAUUUGAAGCUCUUAUUGCUUUGCUUCAAAUGCACUGAAGUUCCUGAGCAGGCGGAGUAAAGUAUGUAUGUUUCACAAUAAGCUUGCAUGCAGGUACCACAAAAAACAAACAAACAAUAAAAGAGGAAAAACAAACUGUAUUUCAUUAUUUUGGCUUAAAAAUGUCUAUGAUUUUCUAAUGAUUUAUAAAGACAGCAGAUUUUACAGGGGAGAAAUAUAACCUGGAAAUGCCCCAAAUCAACUUCAAAUGCCUCAAAUCCCAGAUGGAAUGAGCGAGUACAUGAACAUAAUAACAGAGUUGAAAAUGUGCUAAGUUAUAUUUUUUAAGUAUGGAUUUUUUAGUGACUGUUUUUGAACUGAGAAGAAUAAAAUUUCCUCAAAUCUAUGCAUGAAUGAACAAGUGCAUCUGGACAGAUGCAUCUAUAAUUUAUACUGAUCAGUCACCGCAGGUCUCAUGGAGUAAAGCCGAAAUGAACACUAAUUGUUUUGACGGAAGUAGUGUGCAUGGCAUCUGAUUGUGAAAUGCAGUGAGUCCCUGCCUUGCCUGAAUACAUAUUGUCAACAGCAACUCUGGCAUCAGGAGGGGAAAAUAAAAAGACAAUAAUUCCCAGAUGAGAGUGUUGAAGCCUCUUGUCAAAAAGGUGCCAAAUAGAAAGAAAGAAUUAACUUCUUCGGGACAAAGUAAAAAAUAAGACUGAAUGAAGAGGUCUUGGUUUGACA
rnacentral:lncRNA from 1 species